AUAAUAAACAAUUCUUUUAAUAUGAGUGGGAUCCCAAAAAAAUAAUGAAAUAAUAGUGAAACAUUUUCAUUGGUUGAAAGAGAGAUGGCGAGGAUAACCAUUGCUUUGUUAUCUACCCUUGAUUACACUCAAUCUAAUGGACAGGAUUUGUUCUUCUCUUUCUUCAUGACAAAAAAGGCAAUCACUUUCUUCUUCUUCUUUCACGAGUCUGAUUCUCCAAUCCUCUCCAACUCUCAGUCUCCAUGACAAAAAAAAUCAAUCUCUUUCCUCUCAAUUUCUGUUCAUCUCCACCCAUUUCCUCACCUCCGCUCAAACUCACACACGUCUUCUCGUUACGGGCUAAAACGGAGAUGACAUAGGAAGAGGACGACGGCGGUGGUAAAUCCGAAGUUUCUCUCCCUCAGUCGUGGAAACGGAGAAGAGAGAGAGGAAGAGGACAACCGAGGUGGUAAAUCCCGAGCUUCUCUCCGCUGCGUCUCCGCUCACACUCUCGCCGCUGCUGCUGCUCUCUUUGCCGGCAUUGACUGGAAAGAUGACUCGUUGCGACUCGAGUCAGAUUAGGUCUAGUUUUUUUUUUGUUGGUUUAGUUUUUUUUUUCUGUUAAAUUUGGUUUGGUUUGGUUAUGUAAACCAAUUUUAAUUUGUAAAACAAUUUCAAUAUAUAUAUAUAUAUAUAAAAAUAUUUAAAAUUUUAUUUUAUUUUUGUAAAUCAUUCACAAAAAGAAAUGAUAAUAUUGGAAAUCAA